ACAGGAAUCUUCAAAUACAGGUGCAUGAUCUCAGCACAGAAGUGUAAAAUAAAACCCAUUCCACAGGCAUCAGUACUACUAACGCUAGCCUCAGUUCCCGCGUGCCGAUCCCCUACAACACGCAUGGUGGGUUUCACUCCAUUCUACCUCGAGAUGUAGGCUUCCUCACGCUCAUUCAACAAACAAGCAAAC
rnacentral:lncRNA from 1 species